CAGGGUUUUUGCCCCAUUUGUUGGACUUUGAUGUACUUCCAGAAAGCUCGAUGUGCCAUGCCAGAGAAGCACAAGGAAAGAUGCAAAUAGAUUUUACAGAGCAUAAGAAAGUUCUGCAGAAUGUGGAAUGGUUGUUAUCACAGCGGUGAUGAUACGAAGAAAUAACAAGGCUCUACAGCAAAGAAAGUUGUGUCAAUAGAAAACUGACCUGAAAAACAAUUUUGCAAGAGGAAACUUAAGAGUUCUCUACAGGAAAAUAACUUGGGCAUAUUGAGACCUACUGGCAUUUGAAGAUGAAGAUGCUUUAAUUCCUCAUCUACUAGCAGUUUGCUUGAGCUCUACAGGACCAGAUUAGUGGUGCAGCAAUGAGGCAUCCUCAGUCUCCAGAGGCUAGAACUAUGGGUGCUAUGGAAUGACAGGACCUCUACCACAGAGCCUACAGACAGCCCACCUGUGUCCUGGUCUAGAGAGGAUGCAGAGAUGGCGCAGUCCUUUCCGAUAUUGCAUGAUGUCUUCCAGGUUGCCUAACAGCUGUAGGCAGCAGUGGGCAAUGAGCAGUGCAUCGGUGUUUCUUUGAUGAGUGAAGUUUCAUUUCUAACAUUCGUUCAAGGGAUGUGAAGUGGGAAAACUGCUGCCUACAACCAGUCUCUAAAUACUUCCUAGAGCUAAAGUUCUCUAGCUUGCACUAAUAUCCAUAUGGGAAAAUGGUGAGGCUCAAGAGGCUGUAUUUCCUCCAAUGAAAUCACGAAGAGCUCAGUUAAAUGUUUUCAGGCCUAUGGUUUUCAGUAACGUUACUAAAUCACAGCCCUUACACAGAAAUCUUACAGUGGCAGACUUUGAAAUCUGGGAAACGACUGGAGGGUUUCAUUGCAUUUACUGCAUUGAUUACAGAGACUCUUAAUGCUCCCAGUUUUAGUAGAUGAUGAGCGGCAGUAGGCGCUGCCUUUGGAGGAGAUCCUCAUGUUAAAAAAAGAGAAAUGUUUCAAAGCACAAAUAUUUGAGAUUCUUUUAAGAAUGUAAUUGCUUGGGGGAAGAAGGAGGAAAAGACAAUAUUGGUCCAGAAUGGCAUAAAUGAAAGCAUUUGUUUCACUUUUGAAAUAAUAAACUGAAAAAAUUACUUCUCCAUAGUAAGUUCAUUCCAGAGGGACAUUUUGUUCCUGUUGUUUGUUUUGCAGUGAAAUGCCAUAAAAAUGGAAAGAAUUCCAACAGUUUCAGUAUGGAUAAUACACAGGUCUCUAUCAGUGAUUGGUACAGACUUUAACGAUAGUGUUACCCAUCUUUCCUCUCCCUAAAAUGUGAUUAUUGUAUCAGGCUGCUAUCUUAAAUCAUAUGCCAUGUUUAAGAGAUUAGUUUUUAAAGCCUUUUUUUCCUGCUACAUAGUUUGCGAUAGCUUGAAGUUCCUUUGCUGUGCUUGUAUUAUCACCUAUGGUAUCAUAUUGGUAAAAUAAUGGUAUCUGAAAUAUAUACUUAUAUUUUUGAAAACAAAAAAAAUACUGGAAAUAUUUUUAUCUCUGAAACAUCGUA